UGAGUAACGUMUGGGGAUCUGCCGAAUGGAGGGGGACAACAGUUGGAAACGACUGCUAAUACCGCAUAAUGUCGCGAGACCAAAGCAUGGGACCUUAGGGCCAUGCGCCAUUUGAUGAACCCAUAUGGGAUUAGCUAGUAGGUGAGGUAAUGGCUCACCUAGGCGACGAUCUCUAGCUGGUCUGAGAGGAUGACCAGCCACACUGGGACUGAGACACGGCCCAGACUCCUACGGGAGGCAGCAGUGGGGAAUAUUGCACAAUGGGGGAAACCCUGAUGCAGCCAUGCCGCGUGUAUGAAGAAGGCCUUCGGGUCGUAAAGUACUUUCGGUAGCGAGGAAGGGGUUAUAUCUAAUAGGUGUAACCAUUGACGUUAACUACAGAAGAAGCACCGGCUAACUCCGUGCCAGCAGCCGCGGUAAUACGGAGGGUGCGAGCGUUAAUCGGAAUGACUGGGCGUAAAGGGCAUGUANGCGGAUAGUUAAGUUAGGUGUGAAAGCCCCGGGCUCAACCUGGGAAUUGCAUUUAAAACUGGUUAUCUGGA
rnacentral:rRNA from 1 species